rnacentral:rRNA from 1 species
UACGUAGGGUGCGAGCGUUGUCCGGAAUUACUGGGCGUAAAGAGCUCGUAGGUGGUUUGUCGCGUUGUUCGUGAAAACUCACAGCUUAACUGUGGGCGUGCGGGCGAUACGGGCAGACUGGAGUACUGCAGGGGAGACUGGAAUUCCUGGUGUAGCGGUGGAAUGCGCAGAUAUCAGGAGGAACACCGGUGGCGAAGGCGGGUCUCUGGGCAGUAACUGACACUGAGGGACGAAAGCUAGGGGAGCGAAAGGG